CACGUCACUUCCCGGGGCGGCCGCAGCCGCCGAGUGUCAGCGGCCGCGCUGUGAUGGCGGCGGCAGCCGCGGCUCGGGGCGCCGGCGGGGCUGUGCCGCUCCUGACUCGGCGUGGGCCCCGCGCCAUGGGGAGCAGCCGCGGCGGGCGGCUCGCCUGAGGCGGCGACAGCGGAGGGAGGGCGCGGCACUGCCGAGGGAGCCCCGCCGCGGGGGCCGCGACCCGCGCUGCCGGGGAUGCUGCGCUGGGUUCGGCAGCAGCUGGGUUUUGACCCACCGCAUCAAAGCGACACAAGAACUAUUUAUAUAGCAAAUCGUUUUCCCCAGCAUGGCCAUUACGUUCCUCAGAAGUUUGCAGACAACAGAAUCAUAUCAUCCAAGUAUACAGUGUGGAAUUUUGUUCCAAAAAACUUAUUUGAGCAGUUCAGAAGAGUAGCCAAUUUUUAUUUUCUCAUUAUAUUUUUGGUUCAGCUCAUGAUAGAUACCCCUACCAGUCCUAUUACCAGUGGAUUGCCAUUAUUCUUUGUCAUAACUGUGACAGCCAUAAAACAGGGCUAUGAGGACUGGCUACGACAUAAAGCAGACAAUGAAGUCAACGGUGCUCCAGUUUAUGUUGUUCGAAGUGGUGGCCUUGUGAAAACCAGAUCUAAAAACAUUCGGGUGGGGGACAUUGUCAGAGUAGCCAAAGAUGAGACUUUCCCUGUUGAUCUGGUGCUCCUGUCGUCUGACCGAGUGGACGGUUCAUGCCACGUUACCACUGCGAGUUUGGAUGGAGAGACCAAUCUUAAGACACACGUUGCAGUCCCAGAAACAGCAGUGCUGCAGUCUGUUGCCAACCUGGACAAACUGGUAGCUGUUAUAGAAUGUCAGCAGCCAGAAGCAGAUCUAUACAGAUUUGUUGGAAGAAUAACUGUAAGCCAACAAGCUGAAGAAAUAGUACGACCUCUUGGGCCUGAAAGUCUCUUACUUCGUGGAGCAAGAUUAAAAAACACUAAAGAAAUAUUUGGUGUUGCUGUGUAUACAGGUAUGGAGACAAAGAUGGCAUUAAAUUACAAGAGUAAAUCUCAGAAACGGUCAGCAGUAGAAAAGUCCAUGAAUUCCUUUUUGAUUAUUUAUCUAAUAAUCCUCCUUUUUGAAGCCAUUCUGAGCACUAUUUUAAAGUAUGCAUGGCAAGCUGAAGAGAAAUGGGAUGAGCCUUGGUAUAAUGAAAAAACAGAGCAUGAAAGAAACAGCAGUAAGAUCCUGAGAUUUAUUUCAGAUUUUCUUGCUUUUCUGGUACUUUACAAUUUUAUCAUACCAAUUUCACUCUAUGUGACUGUUGAGAUGCAGAAAUUUCUUGGAUCUUUUUUUAUUGGCUGGGAUCUUGACCUCUAUCAUGAAGAAACAAACCAGAGAGCACAAGUAAAUACUUCAGACCUCAAUGAGGAAUUGGGACAGGUAGAGUAUGUUUUUACAGACAAAACUGGUACAUUAACUGAAAAUGAGAUGCAGUUUCGGGAGUGCUCCAUUAAUGGCAUAAAGUACCAAGAGGUCAAUGGUAAACUAACUCCAGAGGGAUUUUCUGAAGAUUCUCCGGAUGGAAAUAGACAUGGUUUGGUGAAAGAGGAAGAGCUCUUCUUGAAAGCAGUUUGUCUGUGUCAUACAGUGCAGAUCAAUGCAGAUCAGACAGAUGGUGCUGAUGGUCCCUGGCAUGCCAAUGGAAUAACAUCCCCGCUGGAAUAUUAUGCUUCUUCUCCAGAUGAGAAGGCUUUAGUGGAAGCUGCGAGCCGGGUUGGAGUAGUAUUUACUGGAAUUAGUGGAGACAGUAUGGAAGUAAAAAGUCUUGGAAAACCAGAGAGGUAUAAAUUGCUUCAUGUUUUGGAGUUUGAUCCAAAUCGCAGACGAAUGAGUGUCAUUGUAGAGAGUCCCUCAGGGGAGAAGCUUUUAUUCACAAAGGGAGCAGAAUCUUCCAUUCUUCCUCGUAGUAAGAGUGGAGAAAUAGAUAAAACAAGGAUACAUGUGGAUGAAUUUGCUUUGAAAGGCCUAAGAACUUUGUGUGUGGCCUACAGAAGAUUCACACCUGAGGAGUACCAAGAAAUUGGCAAACGCCUUCAUGAGGCCAGGACUGCCUUACAGCAGCGGGAAGAGAGAUUAGCAGAUGUGUUCAACUUCAUAGAAAGGGAUCUGGAAUUACUUGGGGCUACAGGAGUAGAAGACAAACUGCAGGAGAAAGUCCAAGAAACUAUAGAAGCCCUCAGGCUGGCUGGUAUCAAAGUUUGGGUGCUCACUGGAGACAAGCACGAAACAGCUGUUAGUGUCAGUUUAUCUUGUGGACACUUUCACAGAACCAUGAACAUCCUUGAGCUUGUGCAGCACAAGUCAGACAGUACCUGUGCAGAACAGCUGAGGCAGCUAGCCAAGAGAAUAAAGGAAGACCAUGUUAUCCAGCAUGGACUGGUUGUGGAUGGGACCAGCCUCUCUCUUGCACUCAGGGAACAUGAAAAACUGUUCAUGGAAGUUUGCAAAAACUGUUCUGCAGUGUUGUGCUGUCGCAUGGCACCCCUUCAGAAAGCAAAGGUGGUUCGACUGUUAAAAACCUCUCCAGAGAAGCCCAUAACGCUGGCGAUCGGCGAUGGUGCUAAUGAUGUGAGCAUGAUCCAGGAGGCACAUGUUGGCAUAGGAAUCAUGGGCAAGGAAGGAAGGCAAGCUGUAAGAAACAGUGACUAUGCAAUAGCACGGUUUAAAUUCCUCUCCAAGUUGCUUUUUGUUCAUGGGCACUUUUACUAUAUUAGAAUAGCAACCCUUGUACAGUACUUUUUUUAUAAGAAUGUGUGCUUUAUUACACCACAAUUUUUAUAUCAGUUCUUCUGUUUGUUUUCACAACAAACGCUCUAUGACAGUGUAUACCUGACUUUGUACAAUAUUUGUUUCACUUCCCUGCCUGUCCUCAUCUACAGUCUUUUUGAGCAGCAUGUGCACCCGCAUGUAUUGCAGAGUAAACCUGUGCUCUACAGAGACAUCAGUAAAAAUGCCCAUCUGGGGUUUAAACCAUUUCUUUACUGGACCAUCUUGGGCUUCUUUCAUGCAUUUGUUUUCUUUUAUGGAUCAUAUCUUCUAAUGGGAGAAGACACUUCUCUGCUGGGAAAUGGCCAGAUGUUUGGGAACUGGACAUUUGGUACUUUGGUCUUCACCGUUAUGGUUAUUACUGUUACGAUGAAGAUGGCACUAGAAACUCACUUCUGGACAUGGAUAAACCAUUUUGUUACUUGGGGAUCCAUUGUCUUUUAUUUCAUAUUCUCCUUGUUUUAUGGGGGAAUUAUCUGGCCAUUUUUACAUACCCAGGACAUGUACUUUGUAUUUGUUCAACUGUUGUCAAGUGGUUCUGCUUGGUUUGCCAUAAUCCUCAUAGUAGUUGCUUGUUUGUUUAUUGAUGUUGUGAAGAAAGUGCUGUACAGACAUCUGCAACCAACAAGUACUGAAAAAGCUCAGCUUACUGAGGCAGGUUCAGGUAUCAACUGCUUGGACUCCAUGUGCUGCUUCUCAGAUGGGGAAACAGCAUGCACAUCUGUUAGAAGAAUGCUGGAACGACUAAUGGGAAGGUGUAGCCCAACCCGGGUCAACAGAUCAUGGAGUUCAUCGGAUCCCUUCUAUGCCAACGACAGGAGCAUCUUGACUCUCUCCACAAUGGACUCAGCCACUUGCUGACAGGGACAUUUUUGAAUGCCUUGUGGAAGCCUUGUGGUGCUCACACAGCUGUAGCAGGUGCUGAGGCGAGCUCAGUGUCCAGCGCUGCCCUAGGAAAGCCCAGAGCACUCCUGAGUCCAGGCAGGGCUUGUCUGGCCUGCCAUAAUCUGCACAGCAGUCACUUCCAGGAUUUUUUUAAUUAUAUCUACAAAUUGCUAAAUAAGUUGGUUUUUGGGUUUUUUUAAGGAAUGCUUUUACCUCUGACCAUUUUAUCCUUCUUCUUGCUGUAUGAGCAGAUUGGAAUCCUACAUUUAAUACUUGAGAUGUCCCUGUAGGGCAAUGACAGAAAUCUUUCUCCUCCCAAAUUUGAGUGAUCCAAUUUGAAUCAAUUUGAAUCUCCACAGUGAAACUUUUAAAAUUUGUGUUUUUCAUGAUGACAACUUCCCUUUAAACACACAUUCAUUUUGAGCUGUUUUGCAGAUGCUGUCUUUGCAGUUUGCAAAUCAAUUUUGUUACUUCUGUGGACAGUUACUGUAUUCUGUGAGCAAUCAGUUUAGUAAUUUUUGAGAGUUAAAUGCAAUUCAAAUAUUUAUGCUGGUGUAUCAGUGGCAACGUAUUAGCCAUUGCUUUGAAAAACACUUAAAUGUGACAAGUCAGUAAUUUGGAAUAAGGGAUAUAACAGUUCACUGUUCUCCUAAGGUACAAUUCAGAAACUAGUCAUCUUUUAUUAUACCCUGUGUGUUUUGUUAACAGUUCUGGAUCCUGACAUGGAAAAAUUUGUUAAGAAUUUGUGGAUUGAGCAGAAGUCUCACUAGCAUAAAUUUUUUGAAUUAUUAAUCCUUUUAAAGUUGGGGAAUUUUUGCAUGUUUUGUUCUUUUUCAUGUAUUUAUAUUCAGUCAUGUUGUACUUUGAAGAUAUAAUUAAUGCUUAAUUAUCUUCGUCUAUCAGAAGGAUCUGAGACCUUGAUGGCAAUGUUUUGAUACCUAAGAAUGCCAAUAAAAACAAAUUGCACAGUUGGAGCUCUGGGUGGUGCAUCCUGCAGGUGCCUCUCCUGUCCCAGACGUGUCUGCACAGUGGGGGCUGAGGAGCAGCAACAUUUCACUGUUCCCUCAGCCAGGGUGGCUGAACCCCCUGCUUGUCCUGGGAUGUGGGCAAGGGUGCCUUAGGAUGGUGCUGUUCAUUGCUGGAGACUGGAAAAGUGCUGCUGCUCCCAAGCACCCCCUUUUGUCAUCUCUGACAGUGACGUCCCAUCAAUAACUGGAAUACUCACCCUGUCGGACAGUUAAAAGUGUAAAGAUCCAUCUUAAAAUUAUCUCUGGGUAAAAACUGUAAAUCUGGGCUGCUGCAAACCUGGCUGAGUGUAACUGGGCUGCUGCCAGGGGAGUGUCAUCUCUCUUGUCAUCCCAAAUUCUCCCAAGUUCACUGAGCAAAGGAACAGGUCCCACUUUCCUGGGAUCAGUUCCUCCAGAUCUUCCUUACCUGUAUAACAGCUCUGCUUUUCAUUUUUGUGCCCAUGACUUUAACUGGGAUUACUUCAGCUCUCUUCUUGGAGCUUUGUUUUUGCAUUAGUGCCUGGCAGCAUCACUCAGACCUGAAGGUUGCAGGUAUGUGGAGUUUACAAGAUCUCGGUGCUCAAGGCAACAUCCCUUUAGGAAAGAAAUUGUUAUUGCAACUUCGUUAUUAAAUUCGUAAGGUUUUUCCUACUGUUGUUAUAGGUGAAGAUCAGUCUGGGAAUUAAGAAGCUUUAAAAAUAAAUUACAAGACAAGAAGAAACAAAAUACAGCAAACUUUCCUUUUAAAUAAGUGUUUCAUUCAGCAUUCCUAGCACAUUUCUGUAUCAGGAUGUCAGAGUGCACUCCCCCAGCAAGUGCCCAGGGGAUGAAGAAACACUAAAAUUGAGCCUUGUCUUCUCAUGCAGCAGGUAUGAACAUGUGACUAAUCCCACUGCAUAGAGCUAAAAACCUAGAUCCAGCUGGAGAGGCAAUAACCUGAUUGUCAUCCAUCCAGUUCCCUCCAGAUCUGCACUAGUAGCAAAAUACACUUAGAUUUCACUGACUCCUCUAACUUCCUUUGUAUUUCAUAUCUAUAUUAAACCUGGGUUUAAAAUAGUAAUUUUCUUCCUAGUAGUUUCUCCUCCUAGGAGUUUUCAUGCUGCCAUGGAUACCUAGGAAAUACAGAAUUAUUUUACUACUCUAAUCAGAUAUCUGCUGUUUAGCUGUAUUUUAUACCUCAACCACAGUGUUUCACUUUUCAGCAGUGCUUGUUUGUCUGUGUCAGGCUCAGCAUUGUCCUGUCAGUGUGUGUGACCGUGUGCCCUCAUCCAUCCACGUGCUUCGUGUGUCCUGCCCUGAGACCCAGUUCAUUGUGUGAGGGGAAGCAGAGGCUUUGCCAUGAACCCUGCUCCAAGCAUUUCCACUGGCCCAGCUCUGUAGUGUUUGUAAGGUUACCGAAGAAACUUGCAUUUAAACAAUUCAGGAAGGACUUAAGAAUCCAUCCCUCGGCCAAGCUCAGUGCUGCUCCAGGCCCGUCAGGACUCGCUCGGAGCCGUGUGUGCUGCCCCGGCCGCCUGGUGCUCCUUAGGGGACGUUGUUGUUGUCACCGCCCGGCUCCGGCUGAGCCCCUCCGGGGCCCGAGGGGUGAAGAGCUCUCGGGACAGCGGGGACAGAACCGCGCUGCUCCGGGAGGCACCGAGCGAGGCUUGCCUGAAAGAGACCCCGGCAGGCACCGCCAUGGCCUGCGGGUUUAGCUGGCUCUCCUCAGCAGCAGGUUCUGACCCUUUUUACAUUUUGACAACAGGACAAAAGAUGAGCUGUGGAGCACGAAGUUGAAAAUGGUUAUAAAUGAGGUGCACCUUGCUGCAGGAGGAUGUUACUUGUAUCUCAAAGAAUAUAUUUUUACAAUUCCUAUUUGCAGUCCCCGUGACAGAUUUCAGGUUUUAUGCAUACGAAAAUAACAAAUCAUCAUCUAGACUCCUGUUUUUUCACUGAAAUGGGAUUGAGCUUGUUUCUUUGAAGAAAAAAACUGUAACGGUCUCAUCUCUGCAAGAAGUACCUUUCAAAAGAUGUUGAUCCUUAAUUUUAGGGAGAUUAGGGGCACUGCCCACUGGAAAUGAGCAAUAAGUAAUACAAAGAAUUUUGGACCUCUGACACUGUGGCUGCCUGAUGUUAUUUUUGCUCCUCUGACAGCGAGGCCAUGUGCUUGUUCCUUGUACAGCUUGGUCAGUAGUUGUUUUGAAAAUGGUUUAUGAAAAUUAUAUUUAUUAAAUAAAACUUUCACUUCUAGCUGAGUCAUUGUUUUAAUUAUGUAAGUGGUGGAGGAAAAGGCAGCAAAGCCAACCUUGCUGCACUCUGGCCCAGGAAGUCAUGAGCAGGGCUGGAGAGAAGGUACCAGCAAGAUAAAGAAAACAAACCUGGGCCUGUCCCCACACAAUUUUUACAGCCCUCUCAUCUCUCACCCUCUCAGGUUCCUUGCCUUAAUUUUAUUUAUCCCUCAGACUCCUGCCAGUUGUCCUUUGAACACUGUAAAAGGCUUGAACUGUUACAUUCCAAAAACACAAAAUUGAGUGUAAAAAAGAAAUGGUUGCAGUUUCAUGCAAACAUUCAAAUUGCAUUUGGGCAGCUUUUGCUGGCCCAGAACUUCCAGAAGCUGGGUGUUGAGUUCUCUACCAGUUUAAAUGGUCAGACUUGGGCCUGAGGUACAGGUGCCUAUUUUUUAGGAGAAAAACUCUUGGUGUUUAUUUCUGCAGAUACUUCUACACGUUGGUACUAAAACAGCUCCAUAGUUACAAAGCUAAGGCCUAUUUUUGAUAGAUGAAAUUUUAAUUACAUCAAGUAUUUAAUGGUGUGGUUAACUGCUGGAGAGCUCAGAGACCUGAAGGGCAUCACUGGUUUCUGUUUAAAAGCCAACCCAGUCAAUUAACCAUCCUCAAAUAAAAUCUACAGAGACUUUGGGCAACAUUGUUUAAAUAAAAGUGUGAAUGACAAAAGUUUAUUAAAUGCAUUCUUUAAAAAAUGGUAUCUUUCUUAAAUAAGGAUGUCCCAGUACGGAUUUCAUUGUAAAACAGUUUUGAGGCAAGUCAUAAGUUACUUAUUAACAGGUUGAUAAUAAGAAGUGGCUUUACUGCUGUACUUGAGGCAUAUCUGAAGCACUGCAGUGUGUGUGGUGUCUUCCUUCACAUGCUGGGCCAUGGCUGUGCCAAGGGCUGGGACAAUCAGCUCCAGGUGGGACUUGGAAACAUUGGGAACAAACAACAGGCAAGGUGCAGGAGCAGUUUUUAGUUUGGUUUUUUUUUUCCACCCCAAAAGAAAGACUUGCCCUGAACUGUAUUUUAUGCAGAACACACAUAUUCCAUGCUUUUUUUUUUUUCCCCUCCCCACUCCCUAAAAACACAUUCCAGAAACAGGCUUUACAAAUAAUACACUGAAACAAUGCAGUACAAACCUCAGUCAUGGCAAUUUCACUGGAGCUUUAUUGCCUCUGUUGGUAAUGAGAGGGAUUGUAAGAAGUUACAUUUUGAACUUACAGAGAUAUGCAAAUGAUGGGUUUUUACUAAAUAUAAUCUCAAGAUUAAGUGUUUUAUAUCAGGGCACUUCUAAUUUUGUACAUAUUUUAAUGUAUAAAAACAGUUUACAAACUUGACGUUUGCCUUCUUUUUUUUUUCCUUGACAUUUGGCAAAAUUAAAUUGAUCCAUUUGCAGGGAGAUCAUCAAAUUGAAGACAUAAGCACUUACGAAUUAAAGCAAUCCAUGUAAGCAACUGGCUGCAUUCUUAAAAAAAAAACAAAAACAGAAAAACAAAAAACCCCACACAUAUAUGAAGGAAAAAACCACAUGGCCACAUCCAAGCACAUUUCAGUACAAAAUAUUCCCUGUAAUCAGGCAUUUUGUCCUUGCAACAACACCCUGUUAAUAUUUCUUUCAACUUCAGUCAUUUUGAAAAACUUUUAAGAUGCCAUGAUAGCACAAAUAACCCUUUUCUGCAACAUAAUUAGUCAAAGUUUUUAUGUAUUUCUUUAUAAUUACACAGUAAUUAUAAGCAUGUAGUACCAAACUGAUGACAACACUAUUUUGUUGGAAAGAUCUCGCAUUCAAAAGGAAGAGUCUCUAAAACACCACGGCAUUUUGCCACUGCCCAAUGCCAGACUUUUUUGAGGGACAAGUCUGCACUGGGAUGAAAAGCAAGUCAGUUCUCCUCUCCAAACACAGCAUACUUGAACUAAUCAAUCUGAAACAGUACCAAAACCCUCAAGACAGAAAACAGCACGCAGAGAUAACCUUGUCGAGCUUUUUUUUCCACCCCACCCACCCCCAUAAUUUCAAGUCCCCAUUUUUAUUUACACAAAACUGAGAAAGGAAAUACUGAAAGCAGCAAAACACACAGUUUUUGGCAUAGCCAAUUCCAGUAGCUGGAGAAAGUCUGCAACGUUUUUGAGGAACUGUAUUUUUGGAAUAAAUGCACAACUGGAUUUGCCAAAAGGGCACUGCUGUAAGGGGAGCCAGCCUUAAGGUCAACUGCACAGAGUACAAAUAAAAAUUUUAGCUGUUUAAUAGUCAAUUUUUCCCUAAAAUACUUUUAGCAUCUGCAUAAAAUUGUGCUACAGUCUAGUGCAAGUACCAACGACUCAUCUCAAAAAUAACUCUGGCCUUAACAGGGCGCUAUUUAGAGGGUGGGCUUAAACCCCCUCUUCCCACUUGUAAGUAUGGUCUGUCUCCUCUCCUGGAGCUUGUUCUUGCCAGCAUGUUUUCCAGAGCAGGAUUUAUCAAAUCCCUUCACAAGUAACUCAGUGAGGAGUAAAAGACCAUAAAAGCAGCUAAACAGCUCUUGUAUUAUUAAAGAAUUGCAUCUGAUAAAACCUGCUUUGAUCCAAAUGAAGUGACUUAGUCAAACGCAGCAAGACAAAAGUAGUGAUCCACAAAAUAAUUUAAACAACAAAGCCAGUGUAGUAGUUUCUAUCUGAUCUGUGCUUGUUUGGGAAAGCUUUACUCUUAAUUUCUGUGUUUGGCUACCACAGUGAUAUGUCAAUUUAAGGAAAACUCAGCAAAAUAAUUUAGAAAAGGGUGUCAUCCAUAAUGGCAGUACCUCUAUGUUAUGAAGAUUUAACUUACCAGGAUAAUGGUUUCAAAACCCAGAUUCACAACAAUCUUACCAGCUUCUUGUACAACAGGGCCAUUUCCUUCGUCACACCUCAGCCAUAAAAGUCACAUAUCUCAAUUUAAAAUACUGUAUUGUGUAGCAAACAGUUAAGACACAAAUUCAGUAUAUUCAAGUGUUUGAUUUCCACAGAAAUGAAAAACCUUUCUUUGACAGACAGAUAAGCAUUUCAAAACU